CACGUAGGGCGCAAGCGUUGUCCGGAAUUAUUGGGCGUAAAGAGCUCGUAGGCGGCUUGUCGCGUCGAAUGUGAAAACUCGGGGCUCAACUCCGAGCUUGCAUUCGAUACGGGCAGGCUAGAGUUCGGUAGGGGAGACUGGAAUUCCUGGUGUAGCGGUGAAAUGUGCAGAUAUCAGGAGGAACACCGGUGGCGAAGGCGGGUCUCUGGGCCGAUGCUGACGCUGAGGAGCGAAAGCGUGGGGAGCGAACAGG
rnacentral:rRNA from 1 species